rnacentral:rRNA from 1 species
UACGUAGGGGGCUAGCGUUGUCCGGAAUUAUUGGGCGUAAAGAGCUCGUAGGCGGUCUGUCGCGUCGGUUGUGAAAACCCAAGGCUCAACCUUGGGCCUGCAAUCGAUACGGGCAGACUAGAGUACUGCAGGGGAGACUGGAAUUCCUGGUGUAGCGGUGGAAUGCGCAGAUAUCAGGAGGAACACCGGUGGCGAAGGCGGGUCUCUGGGCAGUAACUGACGCUGAGGAGCGAAAGCGUGGGGAGCGAACAGG